rnacentral:rRNA from 1 species
UACGUAGGGGGCUAGCGUUGUCCGGAUUUAUUGGGCGUAAAGAGCGUGUAGGCGGCCAGGUAGGUCUGGUGUGAAAACUCGAGGCUUAACCUCGAGAUGUCAUCGGAAACCAUCUGGCUAGAGUCCGGAAGAGGAGAGUGGAAUUCCUGGUGUAGCGGUGAAAUGCGCAGAUAUCAGGAAGAACACCAAUGGCGAAAGCAGCUCUCUGGGACGGUACUGACGCUGAGACGCGAAGGCGUGGGGAGCGAACAGG